CCUGAACAGGUAUGAGAAGUGGGCCCAUGUGAACCUAAUGAGGUUCAACAAGCCUAUAGGCAGGGUGCUGCACCUGGGCUGGGGCAUUCCCAGACACGAGUGCAGACUGAGUGAAGAACUCAUUGAAAGAAGCCCUGUAGAGAAGGACUUGGAGGUUGUGAUGGAUGAAAAGCUUGGCACGAGUCGGCAGUGCACGCUUGCAUCCCAGAAGGCCAACUGCAUCCUGGGCUACGUCAGCAGAGGAGUGGGCAGCAGACUGAGGGAGGUGAUUGUCUCCCUCUACUCUGCCCUUGUGAGGCCCCACUUGGGGUACUAUGCCCAGGUCUAGAGCCCCCAGCACAAGAAGGGUGUGGUGCUG